UACGAAGGGGGCUAGCGUUGUUCGGAUUUACUGGGCGUAAAGCGCACGUAGGCGGACUUUUAAGUCAGGGGUGAAAUCCCAGAGCUCAACUCUGGAACUGCCUUUGAUACUGGAAGUCUUGAGUAUGGUAGAGGUGAGUGGAAUUCCGAGUGUAGAGGUGAAAUUCGUAGAUAUUCGGAGGAACACCAGUGGCGAAGGCGGCUCACUGGUCCAUUACUGACGCUGAGGUGCGAAAGCGUGGGGAGCAAACAGG
rnacentral:rRNA from 1 species